CAUCAAUAAAAACAUCACUUGUUUUUGUUGCUUCUCCAAUUCCAGUUAAUUUCUUAGCUCUUAGUGCUUCACAAUCCCAAUCUGUUUGACUCAAAACAACCAACAUAGUCACAGCACAAGUUCCCUGAGCCACAAGCAACCCAAUCCACAAACCUUGAAAAUCAAACCCAACAUAAAAAGCUAACCAAAUUGCCACUGGCAUUCCAACAAUGUAAAAACAACCAAAAUUGAUAUUUGCACCUACUUUAGGCCUUGCUGUUCCUCUUAACACCCCACAACCUGUUGUUUGUGGACAAUUUCCAAGUUCACAUAGCCCUAUUAAAGGUAACACUAAAGAUGUAAUUUUUAUUAUCUCUUUGUCUUCAGUGAACAUGCUAGCCCAAAUGUUUCUAACCAUUACAGCAAAAACCAAAGCAAACACACCUAAAAUGAAGCUACAAGUGAGUCCUACAAUUGCUGAAAGUUUUGCUUUUGAUGGCUUUUGAGCACCAAGUUUGUUACCAACUCUAGUGGAAACACUAAAACUUAUUGAUGAUGGAAAAAUAUAUAGCAAAGAAGUAGUUUGAAUCAAAAUUCCCAUAGAAGCAACGGUUGCUCUUGGAUUUAUCAACAAACCACAUAACAAAAUCAUGAUUUCAUACCACCACCAUUCAAGGCAAACAGAAAGACAACUUGGUACAGCUAAAUUAAGAAGUGAUUUCCAUUGUUUGAAACAUUGUGAUGAAAAACCACCCCAUGUUUUCUUGUGCGUGCCAGAGAAAACUAUGUAAAGUAUCAAAGAUGCAACAAGGUUGAAAUUUGUCCACACCCCACUUAAAGCUACACCUUUGAUUCCCAUAUUGAGGUGAGAAACAAGAAAAUAGUUUAUGGGAAUGUGAAGAAAAAUUGCUAAAGUAGCACAAAGUGUGAGAGGCAGAGUAAUGGAUUGGCUUCUAAGGUAAAUUCUUAAAGGGUGUAAAAACGAUUGUGCUAAGAGAUCAGGAAUGGAAUAUAGAAGAUAGAUUUGAGCUUGUGUAGCUAUAUCUUCUUCUUGGCCACAUAAAAGAAGGAUAUGUUUUGUGUAAAGCCAAAGUAAUGAAAUAGGGAUAGAAGUUAAGAGUAGCAAGAGAAUGGUUUUUUGUAAACAUAGACCAAGGAGAGUGAAUCUUUUUGCACCAAAAGCUUGUCCACAAAUAGGUUCCAUUCCAACGGCGAGACCGGAGAGGAUUGAGUAACCGGUAAUGUUCGCAAAGCCGACCGCGAGUGAACCGCCGGCUAAGGCAAGUUCGCCGAGGUGACCAAGAAAGAGCAUGGAGAUCAUUGAACGACAAUAGAGUAAAAGACCGGUGAAAAUCAUGGGAAAAGCAAUUUUGGAUAUAGAAAUAACUUCUUUGAAGGUAGCUCUAAGAUGGGUUUUUUGGAAUUGUGUUGUUGGAUUUUCUAUGUUUAUGUCUUUUUGGAUAAGUGGAUUGGUCAUCAUGUUGUUGUUGUUGUUGGACUCUUUUGUGUCUUUGAUUGAAACUACUAGAUAUUCAGAUUUUGAAUUGCAUUUGGAAGGAGGUUGAGAAGUUAAAUGACACAUAGUUUGUCUAUUUUGAAAAUAGAAAGAGAAGGAGAGUCAAGGAGAAUAUAGUAGAGAGGGAGGGUUGUACAAAUGGUUUUGUGUUGCAUUUUAUAGCAUUUGAAUGAGUACAAUUGCCCUUACGAACUUUUGGAGGGCUAAAACAUUUAACAUCGACCGGCCUAAAUCGUAUCAUAUAUGUCUUUUUUGUAUUAACUUUAAAUUAUUAUAGUUUAAUUAUUAAUAUUUUUCAAUAAAGUGUUAUUUUUCGUUGAUG
rnacentral:lncRNA from 1 species